AACCAUUUUUUUUAGGUUUUUUCUAUUUGUUGUUGCAUUUCAUAUGCACACAUGUAUAAACUAUAAAUGAUACAAAUAUGUUUCAGAUACAUAUGUGUUUAUGAGUUUGUGGGGGGUAAGACAGGAUUUUAAGGACGAAAUGGGCUAUUUGAAGGUUUAUUAUGGGAUGAAAUUGGUUAUUUAUUUUUUUGUCUUAUUUCUUUUGCACAUAACAUAUUUGAUGAAAGUCUUGUUCAGACUCUCAAAAGAAGCCAACUUCUUCAUCGCUUCCAAUUUCUACUUUGCUUCAACUCUAGCCACACUAGAAAUAGAGUAACUCAAUCAUCAAACAAUAAUCAACAAUUUUUGUUUCAAUGCCAUUUGAAAAUAGAGAAUAAAUUAACAGUCCACAGAUCAAACCAAGUAGAGUUAGUUGGUGUCUGGGGUUUCGUCGACGACGUUUGUAUUCUAUGUUUGCAACGGAAAUUCUAAUGCCACGCAGAUUCCUAUUACUCCUAUCAAUCACGAUCUUUAUCAUACUAGUGUUCAGUGUUCUAUUUUUAGAUGGUGGCUGUGAGGCGGUGAAUAAGGAGAGGCAACAAAGGGGCUGACAAUAAUGGCUUAAAAACUGUGGAGUUUUGUGGUCGUUGUUCAAUGGAGGAGGGAUGUUACACCUCGGAAAUUUCCCCGCGAACGUACAAUGAAAAGUUGCAAGUUUGCACUUUGAUCCAGUUGGUCGUAAAGUGGAAUACGGCCCGUAAAGUGAUUUACGGACCGUAAACUGCUAUCGUCCUCCAACCUUUCAAAAAUUUCAACUUUCUGUCAAAUGCUUCAAAUGGUUAAAAACGACUUGGAAUACGGACCGUAAAUCGAAAUACGGUCCGUAAACUAAGUCGUAAAUUGCCAUGAUCUCUAGCAAACCUUUCUGGUUUUGAUAUGCUUAAAUACGGUCGCGAAGGACGGACCGUAAACCAGAAUAAGGCCCGUAAAGUGGGUUUACGACCACUGUGCAUCCCGACUACUGUUCAUAAAAAAAAUCAGAUUUUGUGAUUAAUAUAAUGGACCCUUUUUAUUCAUUUUCAUUUCAUUUCUCAUCUACACCACUCAAGAACUCUCUAUAAAAUUCUCCAAACAUUUCAACCAUAAGAAUACCAAGGAAAUCAAUUAUCAACAACAUUAAAUCCAUGAAACAAGGUGUGUGAAACUCAAGUGAAGUUCAUCCAAACCAAGAAGUUCCAAGAAAGGUGAAGUAGGGUUUUGGUGCAAAAGGAAGGAUUCCACUCUAGGCUUGUUCCACUAUCAUCUAAGGUAGAAACGUGACAUUGAAGGAGAACAAGCAAACGAUAGCUUAGUUAAACAUAAAAGGUAUGUGAGGCUAGUCCUUUCUUUCUAAUGGCAUGAAUCCUGUGGUGUACUUUCUUUCUUAUCCAUGAACUUCUUAAGUCCCGAAAGAUAUGAGCCUAUGUCCAUAAUUGGUUACACAAGGUAAUCAGUUAAAGUUUAAUGAUUCUAAUGAUGUUAUUUAUUGUUUACACUCACCUUAUAUGCUAAUCCCUUCAAGGUGAGGCAGAAUGUCAAUGAUUGCUCCAUAAUGCAAUCGGGGGAUCACGACCUUACGUCACCCCGAUAAAAUAUGGUUGAUCUUGAGCCUUAUGCAUGUAUUAUGAUAAGUUAAGAAUAUUGUGAUGAUAUUACUAUUACACCACGCCUAUUUGGCCGGGCAGUCACCGCCAAGGCGGGCAGCUAUGCGAUACACCAUGGCCAGAUGGCAUGGGUAACCACCACUAGUGGGCGGCAUGAGAUGUUACCCCGGACGCGGGAGGCCUGGACGCAGGCUCAUGUUAUGAUUAUCACACCGAUCCGAUAUGGAUGGGCAGUCUAUACAUGAUGCAUAUAUGAUAUGAUGAUGAGCAUAAGUAAGACAGCAUGACUUGUCUUCUUUAUACUUGACAGUCAAAUUCAGAUGUGCUAUACUGAUAUCUUCUUUACAUCAUUGUCUUAUUUCGUUGUUUAUGCCUCCCAUACUCAGUACAAUGUUCGUACUGACGUCCGUUUUCUUUAGAUGUUGUGUUCAUGCCCACAGGUAGACGGGGAGGAGAGCUCGAUCCAGAUCCGUAGUAGCUGUCAGCUGAUUGGAAGCCCUCUAUUGUCCCGGAGGUGCUUAUGAUUAUUCUCUUGUGUGUAUAUGUAUAGCUAUGCAUGUGUAUUUUGGGCACGACGGGGUCUUGUCCCGUCCCUAUGUUCAGUACUCCAGUAGAGGCUCGUAGAUACGCAGUGCGGGUUAGAUGGUCUCACGAGGUCGCCACUGUAUAUAUAUAUAUAUAUAUAUAUAUAUAUAUAUAUAUAUAUAUGUAUGUAUGUAUUAUUUUGAUAUCCUAAAGGCACAUGUAUAUGAAAGUAUUUUGUGUUUUCAUAUGAAAUAUGAUUUUCCUACGCUAAGAGUAUAAAGAUGAUAAAAAGAGCAUUAAAUGAGUAAAACGAGCGACAGAACGAGCGGUGCUCGGCGGUUAGCCCCGAGUACCCGUCGUGGGCCCUAGUUGGGUCGUGACAAGGGACAACUGGGUUAUUUUGGUGAAGAUGAUAAAUAAGUGGCUGAAUUCCGAUCUUCAUUGUAGCAUGUGUGAGAAAAAGAAGAUCCAAAAUGGUGAAUUGUUCUCCAACAAAAAAAAUCAAUGAAGAAUCUCUCAAAUUUUCACCCACAGGGAACAACAAAGAAAUUACUUCAUCUUCUUCAGAGAUGAAGUUCCACAUAAAGAAUCUGCCUACUGGAUGCCAAAAGAAGCUCGAAUCGAUGACGACUAGAAACUCCGAGAUUUUUUGACAAAAGGAACAUAGUGACUAUUACCAGCUUCUACGCCAUCUAUUGCUGCUUACAUCUCUGGGAUGUAAUCUCUGAUUUUUUGGGUAGUUUGAGUUUACUAUUGUCAGAAAGUCGUUUACCUAUUUAAUGGCUUAUUUAUAAUUCUAAAGAUUUGAGAUUUUGUUUAUGGUUCUCUGUAAUCUUAAGACGGUGAACGUGAUACUAUCUUAAUUCUUUACUAUCAUUGCCUUUAAAGAUAUCUUACCAAUGUGCAUAUCUCUAUGUUG